rnacentral:lncRNA from 12 species
GGUUGUUUUCUGAACACAUUCUUGAAAAGUCAUUCCACCAUUUUUCCUGACAUCUUGCUAUAUUUCUUGGAUUUUUUCUAAUUAGCAUUUACUUUUCUUUAAAUGAUAAUUUAUAAAGAUAUUUCAAUUUGCAAUUAAAACUACUCCAGGGGUACCUGAGUGGCUUAGUCAAUUAAGUGUCUUAGGGUCAUGAUCUUGGGGGUCAUAGGAUCAAGCCCCUUGAUGGCUCCUCCUUUGGCAGAGUCUACUUGGGGUUCUCUCCCUUUCCUGAUGCCCUUCCCCUAUUCAUGUUCUCUCACUCUCAUAAAUAAAUAAAUAAAUAAAUAAAUAAAUAAAUAAAUAAAUUUCAAAACCCUACUCCUUAUUAAUUAAGGAGCAUAAUCAAGCCACGUCUACUCAUCAAUGUUCCUUUCAUUUUUAGACAGAUCAUAAGUCUUCCAUUCUCCUUUCCUCAACAUUGAUCACUCAAUAUGCUUACUUUUUCAUUUUCUUGGUAAGCUAUUUUGAUUGUUUCUUUUACAAAAGAACUGUAUAAAUAAGAAGUAUUGAGGCUUAACUAAAACCAUGUGAAACAAGAAACAAGGUAUAUUUGCUUCCUUUUUUGUUUCUUUUUUGUUUUGUUUUGUUUUUAGAAAUAAAACUCUUUUAGUUGGAAGGAUUUUUGUUUUUCAUGUUUAAAGGUAUCAUUUUUCUUAACUUACAUAUUUCACCUAUGAUUCUUUGUAUAGCUUCAAAACUUUUGGAAUAUUUGUGUAUUUAAUUAUAAUUAGGAUCAUGCAAAUGUUUCUGUUAUCUUGGUUAAAGUUAGUUUUAAAGCAUCUUGUUGCUCCUUGAAGAAAGAGAAUGUCCUGGAUCUGACCUUGAGGACUUCUGGUCUGGUGGCUACAGCAUUUAUGGAUAACACUGACCCAACAGAUAUCUUUAUCCUGCUGUCUGCAACCACAAAGAUACAGAUCACUCUUAUUAAGAUACAAUCUUCUCAACAACAUUGAAAGCCCAGCCAAAAUUGGAAAAAUUACAGAUGUUGUACUCAAAUCUGUGGACCUUGCUAUUGUCCAAACCUCAAAACAACUGGAUCCUGGCAGAAGAAUGAGCAUCAGGGGGCAGGUGCCAGAAUUCAACCUAACAAAUGAAAGGUGAGUAGUAAAGGAAAGUCAUAGGUUGUGGUACUAUAGUCAGGUUACUAAUCAAGAUUGUAGAGUUUUUACCUAUUAAGGAAAAAAAAACUAUUCAAAUUAAAUAUUAGGAAAAAACUGCAUUUUGGUAAGUAGUAACUUUUCUGUUAUUCUGAUAACUAUUGUUACUCUAUAAGGAGAAGAUUAAUUCAAUUCUCAGUCAAUUCAAUGAUUAGAAAAAUGCCACAGUGAAUCUUGAAUUUUGAGACAAUUGGAUAUAUUAAAAACCCAUCAAAGAUUUGUGAUACUCAUGGGAAUAGUUAUUCUUAUCAGUGUACCAAGCACAUAAUAGAAGUGUGGCAAGUGUUUAUUUGAAUGGUGAGUGAAUUGAGAACUGAAACAUUGAAAGUAUAGGGUUCCUGUCCAAGCUUUUCCAGUUCACAAGUUUACAGAAGACAAAUGAUCACACUUAAAUAAGGUAGAGCUGAUUAAUCCACUGGACAAGAAAAAUAAGGUGAAUGAAUCCAUCCAAGAGGAAUAGAUCUUUGGAAAAAGAGUUUAUCAGAGUUUACAGAUCAGCGGCAUUGACACUCUGCAAAACAUUGCUUUAAAAUCACAUUGUUUUUCAAAUAUUUGUCUUUCUGCCAAAGGCUUUAUGCUCAGACUCUGAUUGGCAGUUGAUGAAUCAUGCCUCCUGUAAUCACAUGCCGACUUAUCUUGAUCUUUCCAUGUAAACAAGCAGAGGAAGAAGAGGCAUGUUCAGAGUGAAAUAGUACAGUAGAGUUUGCAAAUGCUUUUCUCACUGAAGAAUGAUUUGGAAGAGUAACAAAGUCUGCGUAAGUAUGUAAAUGGCACCAAUGUGAAAAAAUAAAUGCAAAAGGACAUCUUUUAGACA